CGUGCAGGCGGUGCUCUAAGUUGGACGUGAAAUCUCCUGGCCUAACUAGGAGGGGUCGUUCAAUACUGGGGCACUUGAGGGCAGGAGAGGGAAGUGGAAUUCCCGGUGUAGCGGUGGAAUGCGUAGAUAUCGGGAGGAACACCAGUGGCGAAGGCGGCUUCCUGGACUGUUUCUGACGCUGAGACGCGAAAGCUAAGGUAGCGAACG
rnacentral:rRNA from 1 species